rnacentral:rRNA from 1 species
GAUGAACGCUGGCGGCGUGCCUAAUACAUGCAAGUCGAGCGAACAGACGAGGAGCUUGCUCCUCUGACGUUAGCGGCGGACGGGUGAGUAACACGUGGAUAACCUACCUAUAAGACUGGGAUAACUUCGAGAAACCGGAGCUAAUACCGGAUAAUAUAUUGAACCGCAUGGUUCAAUAGUGAAAGACGGUUUUGCUGUCACUUAUAGAUGGAUCCGCGCCGCAUUAGCUAGUUGGUAAGGUAACGGCUUACCAAGGCAACGAUGCGUAGCCGACCUGAGAGGGUGAUCGGCCACACUGGAACUGAGACACGGUCCAGACUCCUACGGGAGGCAGCAGUAGGGAAUCUUCCGCAAUGGGCGAAAGCCUGACGGAGCAACGCCGCGUGAGUGAUGAAGGUCUUCGGAUCGUAAAACUCUGUUAUUAGGGAAGAACAAAUGUGUAAGUAACUAAGCACGUCUUGACGGUACCUAAUCAGAAAGCCACGGCUAACUACGUG